rnacentral:rRNA from 1 species
UACGGAGGGUGCAAGCGUUAUCCGGAUUCACUGGGUUUAAAGGGUGCGUAGGUGGGUUUGUAAGUCAGUGGUGAAAUCUCCAAGCUUAACUUGGAACUGCCGUUGAUACUAUAAAUCUUGAAUGUUGUGGAGGUGAGCGGAAUAUGUCAUGUAGCGGUGAAAUGCUUAGAUAUGACAUAGAACACCAAAUUGCGAAGGCAGCUCACUACACAAAGAUUGACACUGAGGCACGAAAGCGUGGGGAUCAAACAGGA